rnacentral:rRNA from 1 species
GAUGAACGCUAUCUACAGGCUUAACACAUGCAAGUCGAGGGGCAUCAGGAAGAAAGCUUGCUUUCUUUGCUGGCGACCGGCGCACGGGUGAGUAACACGUAUCCAACCUGCCCUUUACUCGGGGAUAGCCUUUCGAAAGAAAGAUUAAUACCCGAUGGCAUAAUGAUUCCGCAUGGUUUCAUUAUUAAAGGAUUCCGGUAAAGGAUGGGGAUGCGUUCCAUUAGGUUGUUGGUGAGGUAACGGCUCACCAAGCCUUCGAUGGAUAGGGGUUCUGAGAGGAAGGUCCCCCACAUUGGAACUGAGACACGGUCCAAACUCCUACGGGAGGCAGCAGUGAGGAAUAUUGGUCAAUGGGCGCUAGCCUGAACCAGCCAAGUAGCGUGAAGGAUGAAGGCUCUAUGGGUCGUAAACUUCUUUUAUAUAAGAAUAAAGUGCAGUAUGUAUACUGUUUUGUAUGUAUUAUAUGAAUAAGGAUCGGCUAACUCCGUGCCAGCAGCCGCGGUAAUACGGAGGAUCCGAGCGUUAUCCGGAUUUAUUGGGUUUAAAGGGAGCGUAGGUGGACUGGUAAGUCAGUUGUGAAAGUUUGCGGCUCAACCGUAAAAUUGCAGUUGAUACUGUCAGUCUUGAGUACAGUAGAGGUGGGCGGAAUUCGUGGUGUAGCGGUGAAAUGCUUAGAUAUCACGAAGAACUCCGAUUGCGAAGGCAGCUCACUGGACUGCAACUGACACUGAUGCUCGAAAGUGUGGGUAUCAAACAGGAUUAGAUACCCUGGUAGUCCACACAGUAAACGAUGAAUACUCGCUGUUUGCGAUAUACAGUAAGCGGCCAAGCGAAAGCAUUAAGUAUUCCACCUGGGGAGUACGCCGGCAACGGUGAAACUCAAAGGAAUUGACGGGGGCCCGCACAAGCGGAGGAACAUGUGGUUUAAUUCGAUGAUACGCGAGGAACCUUACCCGGGCUUAAAUUGCAGUGGAAUGAUGUGGAAACAUGUCAGUGAGCAAUCACCGCUGUGAAGGUGCUGCAUGGUUGUCGUCAGCUCGUGCCGUGAGGUGUCGGCUUAAGUGCCAUAACGAGCGCAACCCUUAUCUUUAGUUACUAACAGGUCAUGCUGAGGACUCUAGAGAGACUGCCGUCGUAAGAUGUGAGGAAGGUGGGGAUGACGUCAAAUCAGCACGGCCCUUACGUCCGGGGCUACACACGUGUUACAAUGGGGGGUACAGAAGGCAGCUAGCGGGUGACCGUAUGCUAAUCCCAAAAUCCUCUCUCAGUUCGGAUCGAAGUCUGCAACCCGACUUCGUGAAGCUGGAUUCGCUAGUAAUCGCGCAUCAGCCACGGCGCGGUGAAUACGUUCCCGGGCCUUGUACACACCGCCCGUCAAGCCAUGGGAGCCGGGGGUACCUGAAGUACGUAACCGCAAGGAUCGUCCUAGGGUAAAACUGGUGACUGGGGCUAAGUC